rnacentral:rRNA from 1 species
AAUAGAUACCCAGGUAGUCCACGCCGUAAACGAUGAGUGCUAAGUGUUAGGGGGUUUCCGCCCCUUAGUGCUGCAGCUAACGCAUUAAGCACUCCGCCUGGGGAGUACGGUCGCAAGACUGAAACUCAAAGGAAUUGACGGGGGCCCGCACAAGCGGUGGAGCAUGUGGUUUAAUUCGAAGCAACGCGAAGAACCUUACCAGGUCUUGACAUCCCAUUGACCACUAUGGAGACAUAGUUUUCCCUUCGGGGACAACGGUGACAGGUGGUGCAUGGUUGUCGUCAGCUCGUGUCGUGAGAUGUUGGGUUAAGUCCCGCAACGAGCGCAACCCUUGUUCUUAGUUGCCAUCAUUUAGUUGGGCACUCUAAGGAGACUGCCGGUGACAAACCGGAGGAAGGUGGGGAUGACGUCAAAUCAUCAUGCCCCUUAUGACCUGGGCUACACACGUGCUACAAUGGACGGUACAAACGGUUGCCAACCCGCGAGGGGGAGCUAAUCCGGAUAAAACCGUUCUCAGUUCGGAUUGUAGGCUGCAACUCGCCUACA